rnacentral:rRNA from 1 species
GACGUAGGGGACCAGCGUUGUUCGGAAUUACUGGGUGUAAAGGGUUCGUAGGCGGUGCGGCAAGUUGGGAGUGAAAUCUCUGGGCUUAACCCAGAGGCUGCUUCCAAAACUGCUGUGCUUGAGUGUGGGAGAGGCGCGUGGAAUUGCAGGUGUAGCGGUGAAAUGCGUAGAUAUCUGCAGGAACACCCGUAGCGAAAGCGGCGCGCUGGACCACUACUGACGCUGAGGAACGAAAGCUAGGGGAGCAAACAGG